GACGAACGCUGGCGGCGUGCUUAACACAUGCAAGUCGAACGGAAAGGCCCUGCUUUUGUGGGGUGCUCGAGUGGCGAACGGGAGAGUAACACGUGAGUAACCUGCCCUUGACUUUGGGAUAACUUCAGGAAACUGGGGCUAAUACCGGAUAGGAGCUCCUGCUGCAUGGUGGGGGUUGGAAAGUUUCGGCGGUUGGGGAUGGACUCGCGGCUUAUCAGCUUGUUGGUGGGGUAGUGGCUUACCAAGGCUUUGACGGGUAGCCGGCCUGAGAGGGUGACCGGCCACAUUGGGACUGAGAUACGGCCCAGACUCCUACGGGAGGCAGCAGUGGGGAAUAUUGCACAAUGGGCGGAAGCCUGAUGCAGCAACGCCGCGUGCGGGAUGACGGCCUUCGGGUUGUAAACCGCUUUCGCCUGUGACGAAGCGUGAGUGACAGUAAUGGGUAAAGAAGCACCGGCUAACUACGUG
rnacentral:rRNA from 1 species